GUUAUUCUGCGUGACUAAUGAGUCGCAUUUGCUUGUAGUUGGACUUGGAGAAAGGAAUGAUGGACUGCUUAUAUGCAAAAUGCACCCCUUGUAUCACGGACUGUGUCAUGGCAGAGCUUGAAAAAUUAGGUUAGAAGUACCGGGUUGCUUUGAGGAUUGCCAAAGAUCCUCGGUUCGAAAGGCUACCUUGCACUCAUAAAGGAACCUAUGCAGAUGAUUGUAUUGUUGAGAGGGUUACUCAGGUAUGAUAAGACAUUUGGCUAUCGCCGCAUAUUUUAUUUGCAUGAUUAGAAUUUGAAUCUGGCAGUGCAUUCCUUUAGAAAAUUGGACUCCC